GGGGGGGGGGGGGGAAGAUGACUCCCUCCUCCUCCAUAUGGCCUGGGAUUGAACUCGGGUCACCAGACCUGACAUCAAGUGCCUUUCCCCACUGCGUCAUCUUGGUGGUUUUUAUUUAUUAUGGGUCUAGCACCCAACUUCAGAGGAGUGCGGACCUAGAACAGGCAGUAUUGUCUGUUCAGUCUUCACUUUGGGAGGAGUUUUGGUGAGACAAAAUAUGAUGGCUGUGGAAAGUCUCUUGCAUUUAUAAGGAAGCUCGAGACCAGUGAAAGGGCAGUAUCGUCCCAUCUGUCCAUCCAUCCACCCAUCUUUGGGAUAAGGGCUCGUGUACCCAUUAGCUUCCAACUGGAUAUGUACCCGAAGAUGACUGUGACCUCUGACCCCCCUGCCUCCACUUCCCAGGUGCCGGGAUUACAGGCGCGGGCCGUCUUUCCAGCCUCCGAGUCUUCAGCAACUCCUCCAGCAACUCUGGCUGGCCUGGAACUUGCUGUAUGGACCAGGUUGGAACUUGCUAUAUGGACCAGGUUGCCCUGGAAUUCAUAGCUAGCGAUCUACCUGCCUCUGCUCCCUAACCUUUAGUGCUGGCACUAAAAGCCAUCCAUUCUAGAUGGACGUGGUGGUGCACACCUUUAAUCUCAGCACUUGAGAGGCGGAGGCAGGCAGAUCUCUGUGAGUUCAAAGCCGGUCUGGUUUACAUAGCAAGACUUGGUCUCAAAUUAAAAAAAAAAAGCAGCAGGUAGAAGAACGAACCAAGAUGCCAUGAGGACUACACCAACCUCUUCCCAAGACUGAACCUCCUCCCAUGCCUCAUCUUUAAAGGUCAAAGGUCAAAGGUUCCACUUCCUUGAUCUUCCUCCCACUGGAGAUCAAGCUUGGAUGAAUUCACUGGGUAUGAAACCACUACAAACCAUAGCAUGAGGACAGCUCGGAACCACAGGGUGGAUGAUUCUUUUUCGAUAAGGUGACUCUAGCUGGCAGUAACAGCUAACCAGAAGAAGUUCAUAGGAGGGAAGAGACCUGGCAAAAAUCUCCAACUCGGGCUGGAGAGAUAGCUCAAUGGUAAAAGCACUGACUGCUCUUCCAGAGGUCCUGAGUUCAAAUCCCAGCAACCACAUGGUGGCUCACAACCAUCUGUAAUGAGAUCUGAUGCCCUCUUCUGGUGUGUCUGAAGACAGCUACAGUGUACUCAUAUAUAAUAAAUAAAUCUUUAAAAAAAAAAACAACCCAA